CAUGACCGACGCUUGACCACCGCCUCAAUGGCCUCUACACCGUUUCUAUCCUCUCUAAUCCGGUGAAGAUCCAAACACAACAAAGGUUUCCCGAGCAACCUUCAAUGCUUCGGCCUCAAACCUGGUGGCUCAAAUCGCAGGAUCCAGCUGUGAGAGGGAAGGCAUCUGGCCAGUCUAAAAUUGGAGGCCUAUUUUCGAAGUCCACAUUCUAUUCACAGAGCACAUGCUGGAGAAAGUGAGAAUUUUGCGGGAAGCUUUUUCAGAGACAUCUUUGCAUGCUAGUUCAGGAAAACCAUCAGUUAUUUUCAUUGAUGAAAUAGAUGCUCUCUUCCCUCGUCAUGGUUCAAGGCUGGAAUGAAUGAUUUUUCCUUCUUUUGGUAAUUGUAUUUGGAUGUGGUUGAACAACAAGUUGAGAAUUCAUGGGAUUCAAGAUGUAACAAAUACGGGAGCAAGAUGUUCGUCUAACUUCUCAGCUCCUUACACUGAUGGACUCCAAUAAACCCUCACCAAGUUCUUUACUUCAAGUUGUUGUGGUUGCAUCAACUAAUAGAGUGGAUGCAAUCAACCCAGCUCUAAGAAGGUCAGGGCGUUUUGAUGAUGAACUUGAAGUUACCACACCUAAUGAAGAAGAAAGGUUUCAAAUUCUCAAGGUAAGACUGGUUAUCUUG